AACGUUUACCGCAAUAUACUCUUAUCCGCAUUAUAAUGGCAACUGUCAGUUAUUACUUUAUUGUUUUAUCUGUCUGUGUUGUCUGUACGUUUGCAAAUCAUGGAUUCAAACAUAAUUACUUAGUUCUAUUUGGAACAGAUCUUUACACCAAGGGUCUUCUGUCGUUGGUACCUCAAG